rnacentral:rRNA from 1 species
UACAGAGGUCCCGAGCGUUGUUCGGAUUCAUUGGGCGUAAAGAGCUCGUAGGCGGUCUGUUGCGUCCGCUGUGAAAACUCGGGGCUUAACCCCGAGCCUGCAGUGGAUACGGGCAGACUAGAGGUAGGUAGGGGAGAAUGGAAUUCCCGGUGUAGCGGUGAAAUGCGCAGAUAUCGGGAGGAACACCGGUGGCGAAGGCGGUUCUCUGGGCCUUACCUGACGCUGAGGAGCGAAAGCGUGGGGAGCGAACAGG